GACAGAGGGGGCUAGCGUUGUUCGGAAUCACUGGGCGUAAAGGGCGCGUAGGCGGCUUUGUAAGUCAGAGGUGAAAGCCUGGAGCUCAACUCCAGAACUGCCUUUGAUACUGCUUAGCUUGAGUCCGAGAGAGGAUAGUGGAAUUCCUAGUGUAGAGGUGAAAUUCGUAGAUAUUAGGAGGAACACCAGUUGCGAAGGCGACUAUCUGGCUCGGUACUGACGCUGAGGCGCGAAAGCGUGGGGAGCAAACAGG
rnacentral:rRNA from 1 species